CCUUGUUUUCCAUAGUUGCGGAAAUAUCGACGUUUUUAUUUGUAAAAUAGACUGGGGGAAAAUUUCAUUUACCGCAGAAGAGGGUGUCAAAAAAUGGCCACUUCUUGCACCUACGCGGUGAUGCGAUGGGAAAGUUGAAACGGAUGAGCGCGAAGAUAAAAAAGAAAUGGCAGUGGUGAAACUUUAUCUUCGUCUUCUUCAGGUACCGAUCCAUCUACGAAAUGACUCUGGAAAUUCAGCCGGCAAAUCGGUGAAAGUUUAGCAUCGAGGAAAUCCCACGAUGAACAGCGAUCAACCGCAAGUUCAUCGACUUUCCGCCGACUUUGGCUUGCAACGCGCGAACAAAAUAUUUUCAAUUAACUGCGGAGCCGCUGCAAUGGAAUUUUAUUUCGGUGGAAGUCGGUCGUCGAUAGGUCGUAUCUCGAUCCGAUAUUUUUCGUAGUCGAUGAAAUCGGACGCUGAUGCGAUUUGCCAUUCAAAGUGCCCAUUCCGAACACGUCGAAGCUGUCGGCCGCAAUGCAGCAAAGUCCUAUCUAUCUGUUUACGUAUUCGAGCUAAUAACAUCUCUGGUUAUUCCGAUGUCCGUCGAGCUCCGUAGUUACUUCAAACGAAAGUGUUUUACGCUAAUUCUAUUUCUGCACCGAGUGCAAUUCGUUCGCGACACUCGACGCAUACGUAUACGGAUACAGGUUGAGCGAGCGUACUGUUGGCUAUUGUUCUCGGCCACCAGAAACCCGACGAUACUUGGGAUUUGCUCGAUUUUAAACUCCGAUUGAUUUAUCAACAGAAUCUCCGAAGGAUUAUUACGUCGAUAUAGACGAAUACUUAUUUUGUUGUUGGAUGAAAAUUUGAGGAAAAUUAGGAUUAAAUUGGCCUGCAAGAACGUUCGCUAGCAGAUCCAGAAAAUAACCAUUUUGAGAAGAUCCUCUUUUGGAGGUGCAAAAAUACACGGAACGUAUUUAGCGUGUAAAAAUAUACAAAAUAUUAUCUAGAGUAUGGUAUUGUAACGUUUAAUAAGUGAAACAAAUUCCUGCUUGGGUUUCAUACAUUCUUUUUUUGGUUAUUUAAUUUUUAGUUUAGUUGAUAGAAAUAUGAAUAUAAAUGAACAUUCGCUGUCUAUAGUGGGAUUAAUAUUUACAACGUGAAGAUUAUUUGAAAGAAAUUACAUCCUGGUUUCCUGUGAAAUGAAUCGAGUAUUUUCCUCUGGAUUGUGUCUCAAAAAUAUUGAGGACCCCCUUUUUUAGGACAACCAAAUACCGGAAGAUUGUAUAGCGUGUGCGAAUAGCUGUUUCAAACGAGAAUAAAAGGAACGUAAAUAAAAACAGUUUUUAGUUUGACUGUGCUUCCAAUGGAUAUACAUUCCGGAAAAACCUCGGCAAAAAUUCCAUGUAAAUUAGAUGCGGUUAGAAACGUUAGAAACUUCAUGUAAAAUCUGAGUCGACGUUUUCCAACGACGUGUAUCGCUAAAGGUAAAAUCAUAAAAUCGUAAGGAAAGGAAAGACGCGUGUUAAGGCAAAAGAUUUGCGGACGAGCGUGACUCUGCGAUGCUUUGAUUACAAAAAUGUUUGUGUUCCAUUUAAAGCGAUAUCGAAAUUGGAAACAAAGGAACGGAAAAGGAGAAAAUAUCGGAAAGACCUGGAAUUUGCAAAAUGUUUUGCGCCCUUUGUCAACAGCGACCAAAUCGCUUUGUUAGGUAUAACCCACUUUUCAUUGCGUCGCAGCAUUUGCUGACCCGGUUUGCAAAAACGUGAAUGAAUUCGUUAUCAAGCAGGAAACGCUACUUUCACGGAACAAAUGCAAAAAUACUGAUAAUAAACGAAGGAAUAAUUACGCAGCUAUUUCUUUGAUGUCUGAUAUUUAGUAUUUUAUGUUAGUUUAAUCGAAGAUCGAACGGUAAUUUGAAAAGAACGAAGCUCAACAAUUAACGUCCUAUUCGUUCUAUUAAAAUGCAAAUGUACAAGGUCUUGUAAAUGGCAAGCUUCUUCUGUUUCAGCCUCUCGUUCCCCUAUUUUCUUCUCUUUUCGCAUACGUGUUCUCUACGUAUUAUUUGUUUCCUGUUUGUAUUCUAAUGGGAAUUUCUUUUCCGUGCAACGAAUAAAUAAAUAAAUAAAUAAACGUAAUCUUAAUGCGAUAUUUUAAGCUUAUUAUGAUUUUACUUAUGACGUUUAACGUUAGACCGUGCAUUUCUUGCUGCAAAAUUUCAAUUUCUAAACAUUCUGGAAUCAAAUAUUAUUUAGAUAAUUUUUCGCUCUGUUGUUUGCCCUGUUUUCAGAAUAAAAAAUAUUGUCGCGUUUUUCGCCAUAAAAUGAACCGUCUGAUUAAUACUAAAAUGAAAGAAGAAGAGAAAAAAAAGGAGGAAGGUCAUAAUUUUCCGUGUAUUUAUUUUCGCUUUAUGGAACAGAAAAGAAUUAGCUAUUUGUUUUGAAACGAUUUUUUUGAAAUUGCGUAUUUGAGACUAUUUCGUCUGUUGAAAAAUAAUAAAAUCUUUUCCUUUUUUUCUCUCUCUCUCUCUCUCUUUUCUUUGUUUACAUGCAAUGAAACAAAUAUAGGAAUAUCAUAUUAAUCGAAUGUCAUAUUUUAAUAAGGGAUUUCGCUAAAUUCGCGCUUUGAAGGUUUAAAGUGUCAAAUGUUACGCUUAAUCGAGUUUCGCAGAAAAGAAUCGCGCGAGCAACUGCACAGUUUGUUACGCGAUUUUAAUUAACUUCGAAUCCGGAAGCGUUACUUUUGUAAACGCGUCGGCUGCCCUUGAACCGUUCACCUGUGCGCGUAAUUAACAUGUUCAAUACCGUGGAAUAUUUAGAGUUGCCGUUGAAAAAAUGAACGAACGGCUUGACAGAAAUAUUUUUAAUUAAAGCCAGCCCGGCGUCUGGUUAUUAUUGAACAAAGCGAU